rnacentral:rRNA from 1 species
UGGAGGGCAAGUCUGGUGCCAGCAGCCGCGGUAAUUCCAGCUCCAAUAGCGUAUAUUAAAGUUGUUGCAGUUAAAAAGCUCGUAGUUGAACCUUGGCUCUGGCUGGCCGGUCCGCCUCACCGCGAGUACUGGUCCGGCUGGAGCUUUCCUUCUGGGGAACCUCAUGGCCUUCACUGGCUGUGGGGGGAACCAGGACUUUUACUGUGAAAAAAUUAGAGUGUUCAAAGCAGGCCUUUGCUCGAAUACAUUAGCAUGGAAUAAUAGAAUAGGACGCGCGGUUCUAUUUUGUUGGUUUCUAGGACCGCCGUAAUGAUUAAUAGGGAUAGUCGGGGGCGUCAGUAUUCAGCUGUCAGAGGUGAAAUUCUUGGAUUUGCUGAAGACUAACUACUGCGAAAGCAUUCGCCAAGGAUGUUUUCAUUAAUCAGGGAACGAAAGUUAGGGGAUCGAAGACGAUCAGAUACCGUCGUAGUCUUAACCAUAAACUAUGCCGACUAGGGAUCGGACGGGAUUCUAUUAUGACCCGUUCGGCGCCUUACGGGAAAC